rnacentral:tRNA from 1 species
GCGGUUAUGGUGAAAUGGUUAACACGCCUGAUUGUGGUCCAGGUAGUUAUGGGUUCAAAUCCCAUUAAUCGCC